UGGGGAAUAUUGGACAAUGGGGGCAACCCUGAUCCAGCGAUGCCGCGUGGGUGAAGAAGGCCUUCGGGUUGUAAAGCCCUUUAGGUUGGGAAGAAGUACAGCAGGUGAAUACCCUGCUGUGUUGACGGUACCGACAGAAUAAGCACCGGCAAACUCUGUGCCAGCAGCCGCGGUAAUACAGAGGGUGCGAGCGUUAAUCGGAGUUACUGGGCGUAAAGGGCGCGUAGGCGGUUAUGAGAGUGUGAUGUGAAAGCCCUGGGCUUAACCUAGGAAGUGCAUCGCAAACGCCAUAACUGGAGUAUAUGAGAGGGUGGCGGAAUUUCCGGUGUAGCGGUGAAAUGCGUAGAGAUCGGAAGGAACGUCAAUGGCGAAGGCAGCCACCUGGCAUAAUACUGACGCUGAGGCGCGAAAGCGUGGGGAGCGAACAGG
rnacentral:rRNA from 1 species